rnacentral:lncRNA from 1 species
GACCAACCCCUGAGACCAUCUCCAGGUUACAGCAUCCGCAUGCUCCUCCUCUCACACAGGCACACCCGCUUGUCAAGGAAAAACAGGACAGCCCUCCAUCUGAAUUCGGCUUACCCUGUAUCUUUCAUCCGUUUCGUUUACUGCCAGGUUCCCGGUACCUAGAGCGGCGCCUGCAUGCGGCAGACCUAGGGAAUAUUUAUGGAGAAGGCUCGUGAAGAUAAAAAUACUUGUUGGGGCUGGAGAGAUGGCUCAGCGGUUAAGAGCACUGACUGCCUUUACAGAGGUCCUAAGUUCAAUUCCCAGCAACCACACAGUAGCUCACAACCAUCAGUAAUGGAAUCUGAUGUCCUCUUCUGGUGCGUCGAGAAUAAAUGAGAUAAAUAAUCUUUUUUAAAAAAAUACCUGUGGAUUCAUAUCUUAAAUGCUUAUUAGUGUCACUCAAAUUUAGUGGUUGAAUUGGGUCACUAAACAUGU